UGCGAAGAGAAUGCUUUGUUGCGGACCCCCGUAGGACCUGGACCCCUCUGCUUCAGCAGGGUCGCAGGCGGCCCGGAGCAUGCGGAAUGGCAUUCAAGGCACCCCCCUCCCCAGUCUAAAAAUAAACCCAUCCCGGGAGGCGACCCUUCCCAAAUGAGGCAGCUGCAAUUUGGAAACGCUGAAUAUUUAACUACAAAGAAAAGAUGAGGAAACUAGAGCCCAGAGAGGUUAAGUAACUUGCUCCACUCACAUGCCUGAGCAAUGGACCAUGAAUACAGCUCCUGUAUUCCACACAAGUGGUUAACGCCUGGCCCCCCAGGAGCACACUGCAGAAGCUGCCUGUUGUGGACUUACGGCUUUGCUUGGAGGGAGAGAGGACGGCAGACGCUGAUCUGCAUUGCUGCAGCUUUGGUUCACUUAGUCUGACCUUUUUCUCCUCCCCUGCUUUCUCUGCUUUUCUUAUAUUGUCCAAAGUACUCAGCAAACUGAGCGAUUUAUUCUCUAGCUGG
rnacentral:lncRNA from 1 species